rnacentral:rRNA from 1 species
AUUGAACGCUGGCGGCAUGCCUUACACAUGCAAGUCGAACGGCAGCACGGGUGCUUGCACCUGGUGGCGAGUGGCGAACGGGUGAGUAAUACAUCGGAACAUGUCCUGUAGUGGGGGAUAGCCCGGCGAAAGCCGGAUUAAUACCGCAUACGAUCCACGGAUGAAAGCGGGGGACCUUCGGGCCUCGCGCUAUAGGGUUGGCCGAUGGCUGAUUAGCUAGUUGGUGGGGUAAAGGCCUACCAAGGCGACGAUCAGUAGCUGGUCUGAGAGGACGACCAGCCACACUGGGACUGAGACACGGCCCAGACUCCUACGGGAGGCAGCAGUGGGGAAUUUUGGACAAUGGGCGAAAGCCUGAUCCAGCAAUGCCGCGUGUGUGAAGAAGGCCUUCGGGUUGUAAAGCACUUUUGUUCGGAAAGAAAUCCUUGACUCUAAUACAGUCGGGGGAUGACGGUACCGGAAGAAUAAGCACCGGCUAACUACGUG